AGUCGACGGGAUCCGGGGGGUCGCCUCCGGGAGAGAGUGGCGAACGGGUGAGUAAUGCGUGACCGACCUGCCCCAUACACCGGAAUAGCUCCUGGAAACGGGUGGUAAUGCCGGAUGCUCCAGUCCAUCGCAUGGUGGUCUGGGAAAGAUUCCAUCGGUAUGGGAUGGGGUCGCGUCCUAUCAGCUUGAUGGCGGGGUAACGGCCCACCAUGGCUUCGACGGGUAGCCGGCCUGAGAGGGCGACCGGCCACAUUGGGACUGAGAUACGGCCCAGACUCCUACGGGAGGCAGCAGUGGGGAAUAUUGCACAAUGGGCGCAAGCCUGAUGCAGCGACGCCGCGUGCGGGAUGAAGGCCUUCGGGUUGUAAACCGCUUUUGAUCGGGAGCAAGCCCUUCGGGGUGAGUGUACCCUUCGAAUAAGCACCGGCUAACUACGUGCCAGCAGCCGCGGUAAUACGUAGGGUGCAAGCGUUAUCCGGAAUUAUUGGGCGUAAAGGGCUCGUAGGCGGUUCGUCGCGUCCGGUGUGAAAGCCCAUCGCUUAACGGUGGGUCUGCGCCGGGUACGGGCGGGCUGGAGUGCGGUAGGGGAGACUGGAAUUCCCGGUGUAACGGUGGAAUGUGUAGAUAUCGGGAAGAACACCAAUGGCGAAGGCAGGUCUCUGGGCCGUCACUGACGCUGAGGAGCGAAAGCGUGGGGAGCGAACAGGAUUAGAUACCCUGGUAGUCCACGCCGUAAACGGUGGAUGCUGGAUGUGGGG
rnacentral:rRNA from 1 species